AGGAAGAACUAGCUCUGCCGAUAUCUUGAUUUUAAGACUCAUUCUGGACUUCUGACCUCCAGAACUGCUCAGCCACCCCAUGGAAGAGCAGAGAAGGCUAUGCCCACCCUGGCUCUGGGCCAAGGGAGAUGGAGCAAAGAGUGGGCCCCGGAGUGUGAACAGAGGUCACUGCUGGAAGUGCAGUCAUGUCCCCAGGCCUGGUCACCUCAGGGACUCUGGGAGAGGGAGCGUGCUACCCUGGAUCGUCCUGCACGGAGUCACCGAGAGGAAGCGUGGCCCAUCCCUCCUGGCUUCCAUGCCCUCUUUCUCAGGGUUCAAGGGGUCAUUUCAGAAAGGAAAGUCUUGAAGCCCUUGACAAAUGACUUCAAGCCUCCUAAUGGGCAUCAGCACUGAAUGGACUGCCGAAAGCUGAAGCUCCCAAAGGAUCCUUCAGUGCAGCUUGGUACAGUGGAGAAAGACUUGAGGGACAAGUAGCCCUGGGUUCAAAUCUUGUCUCAACCACUUAGUAUCUGUGUGGACUUCGGCAGCAUCUACUUUCACUGCACCCCAGUAAAUAGCAAUUAAUAAUAGUAACCGCCUUGGAGAAUUGUU